UUUAGCCCAUCAGCGCUCGAGUGUGCUGCCUGCAGACUGGUUUCUCUCGAUCUUCCGUGGAAAUAGGGACGUCGAGGUGAACCUGAUCAUCACAUACGCAUGCCUGCCAUGAGCAGGAUAUAUAUGUUCUGCUGGAGAAGAUCAAGGUAAUAUGCCUUUUUUCCUUUCUUCUAGGAUUUCUUGGUAUUAUCCAUUGAUUUGAUCUGCCAAAGACAACUGGCAUAAGUAUGUUUAUUUGGUUUGUUCAAAUGGGUAACUAUUCCUUCUAGGAUAAUUUUUUCGAGUGUUCUUCCUGAUUAUCGGAUGAACAGAUCAAAGCUACUGCGUGCAGUGAAAGGCAUAUUUUCAACACUAAACUUUGCUAUUAGCAUUUCAAUAUGUCCGUUUUGUACCACAGACCUACAAAACUUAGCGCAGUGCUCCACAUCUUAUAUGCGUAGGCUUUAUGUUUUAUUCCUUUUCAUUCUUACGUCUAUAUUGUAUCCUUAUCCAAACAAUUUUUCUCUCCUUAAUUUCACACAAGGUUCACGCACUGUUUGUGCAUGAUUUUGUCUUCCUUUAUUGGACGUGCUGAGAUUGUGAGGUAAUUAUGCCCCUGUAGAAGCAAAGAUUUCAAUUGUCUAAACGAAAUUGGGAUAGGCCUGACUUGAUCCAUUUAGCAUUGACAUUUUCUUUUGGAAUUUAUACUUUUGUGCACCGGUAAUUCCUUUCUGGUUCCUAUCUUUAGUCAUGGUUACCGCAGUCCUAACUCCAUGUUUACAUGUGCUGGGAAAUCGCAGCCUGAUUGGCAGCUUAUUAAGUUAUUGAAUAUUGUGGCAUAUCAAGGUGCAUAACUUGUCCACCAAGGAGGACGGAAUUCUCUUCGCGACUGCCUAUAUUGCAGAUUAUUAAGCAAUUUUUGCAGCAGAAGACCCUUUGGCAGCCUCCAAGCUGAAAUGCAGAUGCAGACCCAAAUAUCAGGGCUGAUGGAGCAACGCCAUUACAUAUUUCUGCAGAUAGUGGAAAUAUAGAAGUAAUCGAAUGCUUACUUAAAGCUGGAGGUGACCCAAAUACCUGUGAUGAUGAUGGACUAAAGCCAAUAUAGGUUGCUGCUUUGAGAAAUAACCGUGAAGUUGUGGAACUUCUUUUACCAUUAACAUCCCCAAUUCCAAGUGUUUCAAAUUGGAACGUCGAUGGAAUUAUAGAAUACACAUUGUCUAAAGAGGUUGAGGAAAAGGCCCAAGUAAACGAAGUUACAUCUCUAAAGUCAGCCAGAGCACAACCUGCUGAGGCUACGGAGGUUGAUGGAAAUGCAUUUCAGGCUACAGAGUUGGAUCCAAAUGAUGCCGGAGUGCUUUCAAACAGAAGCCUUUGCAGAUUCUUUUGACAUGGUACAAUCAUCACUUUGGUUGCUCCAGAUUAUCAACCUGAUAAUCUCUUCUGUAGACAAGCGUUUGCUCCAAAGUUUCUUAGACAUGGUACCACUUAUUUUUUUGGUAUUCUCAUACAUAUUCCACCGACAGUAUAGCAACAACAACGUCGUGCCGCUUUUCAGUUCAGACACUAUAGUAGCAGCAACGAGUAGUCAACGGGGGUUAUAUAGCGCGCCAAUUGGCGCGCCAUAUUUCGAACGCACUCUGCAGUUCCCAUCUAAAUAAACAGGAAAAAGAUCAUGAGAUCGGUGAGCUUGCGGUGAAAUGAGAGAAAGAUGUGGCUUUGUGAAAAUAGUUGACUUAGUGCAUUCACCUGCAGGUUGGCAGGCUGCAAUGCUUUUGUUGUCUGGUUCUAAUCAAUAACCAUGCAGCAAGGCUAACAAGUUUCACCUUCUUGCCACGCUUACAACAUUUAGUCUCUGCUGCAAAUUGUUAUCUCCCCUAACGAAGCUAGCCACAUUGUCAUGUUGCUGAGCUGUGGUUUAGUUUAGUGCUGAGCUGUGCCAUACGUGCAUGCUAUAACACUUCUUUAAUGGAUAUGGAUAUUGCCUCAACAAUUAUUAUAUUUACCUUAGCCCUUUUGAGAUGGCCUAUCUAUGAACUGGAACAAGAUGAGCCCAUAACACAAGGAGGCACAUCCCUGCAUACUGGAUCGUAUGAGGAAAGGUAUAUGGAAGCAUGCUAAAUGUGAUGGACAUGAGGACUACGGCAUGCUUAUCAGUGAAAAGGCUCGGAAAUAUGCCAUAAUCAAGGAGCUUGACCAGCCAGUUACUUUGAAGGAUGGGACAACAGUCCUGCAGUUUGAAGUGAGGCUUCAGAAUGGUCUUGAAU